rnacentral:lncRNA from 1 species
CUGGAACUGGUGACAGUUAUAUGAUCCAAAAAGCAAAUGUCCUUGUAGUGAAGGAGGUUGGCUGUGUCCAGAAGAGAUGCUUUGUAUCAAAUGGGACCAAACUAGCAGACCAUAUUUUCAUCUGGGAAGGAUAAAUGUGGAGUGGAUGAUGAAAGAUCAAGUUUUUGGCAAGGAAGGAGGAAGGCCAAGUCAACAUAUGGUCACCAGGCUUCCCAAGGUAAGAGGUAGAUAAUUGGCACCAUGCUGGUGCAAGGAAUUUCCAGGACUGAAGGAAAUGAAGCU